rnacentral:rRNA from 1 species
UACGUAGGGGGCAAGCGUUGUCCGGAUUUAUUGGGUGUAAAGAGCGUGUAGGCGGCCUGACAGGUCUGCUGUGAAAACUCGAGGCUCAACCUCGAGAUGUCGGCGGAAACCGUCUGGCUAGAGUCCGGAAGAGGAGAGUGGAAUUCCUGGUGUAGCGGUGAAAUGCGCAGAUAUCAGGAAGAACACCUAUGGCGAAGGCAGCUCUCUGGGACGGUACUGACGCUGAGACGCGAAAGCGUGGGGAGCGAACAGG